rnacentral:lncRNA from 1 species
GGGGAAUAGCAUCUCUAGGGAAGAUUCCAGUUAUCUGGGGCCAUACCCACUUUGUCCUCACAAAGUCCCCUUCCUGGCUGCAGAAGAUCGGAUUCACAGCUCUGCUCUGUCUUGUCUCCACUAGAUUGGUGUAAUCAUCCAUGGCCUCCUGAUCUCUCUCAUCAUACCCCUGAUGUUUGUACAGCCGUACUACAGGGUUUGGCAUCUCCUGGAAGGCCGGGAAACCUUUUGGAGGCUUUACUUUUGAUGGAGCAUUGGAAUACAAUGCUUGGAAAAGAAAGCAAACCAUCUUCUGUCAUGAGAUCAAGGAGGGGACUGCUGGUCACCAUCUUUUGCCCCUACCGACAAUGCAUUAUGCUCAGCUCCUCCGUUUUCCGUUGCUGCUAUAGGACUCAGAUGGAUGGCUGCACAACCAGGGCCCAAACUAAAAGCGAUGGGACUGAUAUUCUUUUUACAUUAACAUAACUCAUCUGACUUCAGCCCCAAUGAACUUGACUGAUACUUAAUGUCAGUGACAAAUGAGCAAAAUCUGCUGCAUGCAGUGGAUAUUUUACUGAUUUCUAUUAUGUCCUCUUUUUUUUUUUUUCCCCUCAUGUUAAUGUAAGUAGAAUUUAUAAAUUCUUACUGUCCAAAAAGAAGGCACGUAGCCAGGGAAGAUGCUGCAGGGUUUUUUCUACGCAAAGAAGUGGUGAUAUUCACCCAUGCUAGAUUCAUAAUGAAUGUCAGUUUUGAUCUGUUGGUGUGCAUUUGGGGGUGGCCACUACUUAAACAUUCAUACUUAAAGCAUUAAAACAUUUUGUAAACUACUGUAGCUGAGGGCAUUAGGUACACCUACCAAGAUAGCAUAAAAAUUGGUGAAUGGGUGUGGAGACGGAAAAGGACAGAAAAUUAUUUAAAAAUAAAAUUUUAAAAAGCAAACCUGGGCA